rnacentral:rRNA from 1 species
UACAGAGGGUGCAAGCGUUAAUCGGAAUUACUGGGCGUAAAGCGAGCGUAGUCGGUUAUUUAAGUCGGGUGUGAAAGCCCCGGGCUCAACCUGGGAAUUGCAUUCGAUACUGGAUAGCUAGAGUUCGGCAGAGGGAAGCGGAAUUUCCGGUGUAGCGGUGAAAUGCUUAGAUAUGACAUAGAACACCCAUUGCGAAGGCAGCUUACUACGGAUAUAUUGACACUGAGGCACGAAAGCGUGGGGAUCAAACAGG